rnacentral:ncRNA from 8 species
AAGUUACCACAGGGAUAACUGGCUUGU